AGGCUUCACAAAAGAUCCCCUACUGUACUGGGCAGUUUUGCAGAAGUGUCCAUGUUCAUGUUUGAGGAACUAAGAAAGGUGAAGAGGGGAGAGGAGGGACGAACCCUGGUCCUCAAAAAACUUUAAACCGACUGGCCCAUCUGUGGUUUACGUGGCGUCGGAAAGAUAUCUUUGAAGUCCCUAUAUACCCGGCGUCACGUAAGAAGGCAAGAGAGGUUGCAAAGAUGAUGGACCACACGAAUAACCAACGAGAGAUAGGGUUGGAGGCUGAGUCAGCUCAGAGGGAUAGGAGGAUCAGAGAGCUUGAGGAACGACUAGGUUCGGCUGAGAGGAAAGUCAAGAGGCUAUCAACUCUGACGGCAGAUCUAC